GCCUUUGUAAGGUUGAUGGUGGCUCUCAGCAAUCAUUUCAACAGCUUUGUAAAACACUGUCGCAGAGCCAGAAUUUGGCCACAUCGCCCCAAAUGUCAGGUGGUUGGGCCCUUCCUGACUGCUUGUUAAUAUACUGCAAGCUAAUUAGGCAAAGCAAACUUGUCAAACAUCUGGGGCAGGCAGAACCCCUGGGGGCCAGCCUAGCUGCUUUGGGCUGCACUUUGGACACCCAGGCCUGAAUGUAUUCCUCCUCCGGAGAGUAUUUGAAUUUUAAUGCUGGACAAAGCCCUAAGGUCUGUUGCAAGCAUAGAAUGAAGAACUUAGGUUUGUCCAACUUGGCUCCAGAAGACAGAAUUAGGAACAACCCAUGGAAGAGUUUGAAAGGCAGAUCAACUCCAAGUAAGGAAAACUGUCCUGUAGACACCUGCAGGAAUCUGGUAAGUGGACCCAUCUUCCCCGGAAAGUAGUGGACUUCCCCUCCCU
rnacentral:lncRNA from 1 species